GGAAAGAGAGGGAGGGUGGGGACAAUGGCUUGACGUCAUAUUUUCGCAACAAGCAGCAGGAGGAGAGAGCCAGGCUUCUUGCUGGCGCAGGUUGGCAGCACUAAAGAGAAGAGAAGGGAAGGAACCUGCAAGCUUCCUCCUCUCCUGCUUUUGGAGCACGACAGUGAAGGAAUGAUAAUUAUUCUUGCCAUAGUAAUGAAGCCACAAGGAAACACUUCUACUUAAUUCCAGCUGUUAAAGCCCUCCACUCCAGCCACAUGAAGAGGAAGCACCAGCUCAUUUCUGAGGCUUUCAAGGCCAAGAAACAGAAGCUGGCUUUUGGAUCAGAGCCUGUGGAACAAGAGGGUCCUGAAGCAGUGGAAUCUGCUCUCCAGUAUUUGGCCUCUCUUUUCCCUCGCAAAUUGUUUGAGGAUUCACUGCCGCCCUUGAUUCUGAGACACCAGAUCUACAGUCUUGUCAAAGACCGCACAACUGUGGACAGGCAUCUGAGCCAACUGAAGGAUGAAGGCCGGAUCAGGAUGUUCCAGCAUGGCUUCGAUGCAGACACAUUUGUCGUGACAUUCACAGAUGACUACAAAGCUAAGGUGCUGGAGUUUGCAUCUGGGAAGGAAUUUGCCCGGACAGUGAAGAAGUUCCUAGAUUCUGUCCUCACUUCCUGUCCUGACAUCAGCUAUGACAAAAAGAGGAUGCUAAAUGAAUUUGGCUUCAGGGACACUGAGAUCACGCAGCUGGUGAAUGCUGGACUCCUGACUGUCCGUGAUGCUGGAAGCUGGUGGCUAGCAGUGCCUGGAGCAGGCCGCUUUGUCAAAUACUUCAUCAAAGGGAGAAAAGCUGUGCUGGGUAUGAUUCAGAAAGCGAAAUACAAGGAAGUUCUACUAUCUGAUUUACAGAAUCGUCGAGCUCCAAGUGCUGUAAAACUGGGCAUUCCCUACCACAUACAUGACAUCAUUGGAGCCCAGCUGGUUGACUGAAAUGCAAUUUGAGAUUUAGACAACAUGUCAAUGUGCAAAGGCAGAACAGCAGAGAAAAUUUGUAUCAUUUGGAGGUCUCUGGCAGCAUAAUUCAGAAUUUUUACCCUUUCUUUCUUGUGUGCCAACUACAACAGGAACUCUUCUCCGACUGGCUGAUGAUUAAACACAUAUCAAGUUGCCAAUGAGCAGAGGGUUGGCCUGAAAUGAACUGACCUCACCUGGAAUGCUUGGAAAUGACUCUGGCAUGUGAGGACCACUCUCUUAACCACCACCAGCAGUGGAGACAGAAGGACUCUCUUCCCACGCAAAAUAACUUAUUUAUGAACAGAUGUGUCUUUUGCACUUAAUAUGGAUCCAUAAUAUGGAGAACACCUCAGCAGGACCUGUGACUCCACAGUAAUGAUUGCAAUGUCAAAUGAAACUGUGAUGUGAAUAGGAGAUUGAAAUGUGAUUUUUGGCCAUAAUCUGAAGCAUCAUGUUAUGCCUACCCAUUUAGGGCAACAACACCCAGUGUUCAACAUUCCCCACUCUCAAUUCAUUCCUUAUAUGUGUUUGGGCCACGGGUGUUUAUUGUCUUUCAGCUGCCAAGAUAUUCAAAUGCCUUGAAGUAAAAACAAUUUCUUUCA